AGCUUCCACCCGAGAGACGGACAACGGACGUAUCAACGUGUGGAGCAGGUGAGUGAAAGAGAAGAAGGAAGUCAUGGGUGGGAGGAAAAUUGGAGUUGGGAGAAGCUACCUGAAAACUCUGAGCGCUCACAUUUAGCUAUGACGUCCAGCACCACAGCGAAUGGCGUGAGGGCACCGAUCAUGUAGAGGAGGGCCACGGUGUCCUGAAUGGACAGACGCUCUUCUCCCGCCCCGUAGUAGAGACAACCGACCAGCAGUGACAUGAGGAGGGCCUCGAAGCCGUGGACCAACAAGGUGACCAGGUCUCUGUAGUCAUUAUACAUGUGACGCCUGAGCGGGGAGGAAAACAGAGACCCCCCUCACAUAAUCGUUUCCCACCCGGGUGUGAGCACACUGUCGCAGCCGCAGCUCAGCGAUGACAUCAUCCACCUGUGACGGGUAACAGCAGAGACAUUCAUGCCACUUAAAGCAUCAGUCUUGAACAACACACACAAAUUCACGCUGCUGUUACAUCUUGGCCCAAAUGAGGAUUAUAUGCAGAAUAUGUUUUGUAGACUCAGUGUGGACUUCUUCAUGCUGCGUGCAUUCUGCACCUGUUUUGAUUUGGUUUGAUCCCUGAUUUGUUUGCUGAGCUUAAUCUUACCCUCUGG